AGGCUAUAACUCUAGGAAACUCACCGGAAACCUUGCACCUACUUUUCUUUCUUUUUCUCUUGGAAGGAUAUAGACUUCCUUCUCACGCAUAAGACUUCUCAUGUCCCAAAAUUUUUCUCCAAAAAUCUUCUUCUUACAUGCCCCACUCUUCUCUUCCUUUUAUAACAACGUCAAACGUCUUAUCCAAAAGAAAGGAUAAAGAUGAGUAAUUGCACAUUUGAAUUCAAAUCAAAUUUUGAAUUCAAAUGGACACCAACUCAUCCCUUAUCCACUAAAGGCAUGAGGCAUGGCUUAAAUUGUGCAUGG
rnacentral:lncRNA from 1 species